UACGUAGGGGGCAAGCGUUGUCCGGAUUUAUUGGGCGUAAAGAGCGUGUAGGCGGCCAGACAGGUCCGUUGUGAAAACUCGAGGCUCAACCUCGAGAUGUCGAUGGAAACCGUCUGGCUAGAGUCCGGAAGAGGGGUGUGGAAUUCCUGGUGUAGCGGUGAAAUGCGCAGAUAUCAGGAAGAACACCUAUGGCGAAGGCAGCACUCUGGGACGGUACUGACGCUGAGACGCGAAAGCGUGGGGAGCGAACAGG
rnacentral:rRNA from 1 species